rnacentral:rRNA from 1 species
UACGUAGGGUGCAAGCGUUAAUCGGAAUUACUGGGCGUAAAGCGUGCGCAGGCGGUUUUGUAAGUCUGUCGUGAAAGCCCCGGGCUUAACCUGGGAAUUGCGAUGGAGACUGCAAGGCUUGAAUCUGGCAGAGGGGGGUAGAAUUCCACGUGUAGCAGUGAAAUGCGUAGAGAUGUGGAGGAACACCGAUGGCGAAGGCAGCCCCCCUGGGAUAACACUGACGCUCAUGCACGAAAGCGUGGGGAGCAAACAGG